rnacentral:rRNA from 1 species
GAUGAACGCUGGCGGCGUGCUUAACACAUGCAAGUCGAACGGACUGAAUGGAGCUUGCUCCAUGAAGUUAGUGGCGGACGGGUGAGUAACGCGUGGGUAACCUGCCCUAUGCAGGGGGAUAACGUUUGGAAACGAACGCUAAUACCGCAUAAACUAGUUGGUUCGCAUGAGCCGACUAGCAAAGAUUUUAUCGGCAUAGGAUGGACCCGCGUUGGAUUAGCUAGUUGGUGAGAUAACAGCCCACCAAGGCGACGAUCCAUAGCCGGCCUGAGAGGGUGAACGGCCACACUGGGACUGAGACACGGCCCAGACUCCUACGGGAGGCAGCAGUGGGGAAUAUUGCACAAUGGGCGCAAGCCUGAUGCAGCGACGCCGCGUGAAGGAUGAAGGUCUUCGGAUUGUAAACUUCUAUCAGCAGGGAGGAACCAAAUGACGGUACCUGACUAAGAAGCCCCGGCUAACUACGUGCCAGCAGCCGCCGUAAAAC